AUACUCCGGAGAGACCAAAAAGGGAAUUUCGGCGCCGAAGGUGUAACCCGCAAACUUGUUUUGCGGCUAUCUCUCAGGCAAAAGGACGGAGCGG
rnacentral:ncRNA from 1 species